GGUCAGUCUUGCACUGCGCAUCUCGCCGGGGCAAGGUUUGAUCAUCCGUAGGGGAAGCCAGUUCGUACUUCACUGUACGGCUGGGGGAACCUACAAUUUACUGUGAAAAAAUUAGAGUGUUCCAGGCAGGCAAUCGCUUGAAUACUCCAGCAUGGAAUAAUGGAAUAAGACUUCUGUCGAUUUGUUGGUUUGAGAUAGAAGUA
rnacentral:rRNA from 1 species